AGAGUUUGAUCCUGGCUCAGAUUGAACGCUGGCGGCAGGCCUAACACAUGCAAGUCGAGCGGAUGAAGAGAGCUUGCUCUCCGAUUCAGCGGCGGACGGGUGAGUAAUGCCUAGGAAUCUGCCUGGUAGUGGGGGACAACGUUUCGAAAGGAACGCUAAUACCGCAUACGUCCUACGGGAGAAAGCAGGGGACCUUCGGGCCUUGCGCUAUCAGAUGAGCCUAGGUCGGAUUAGCUAGUUGGUGAGGUAAAGGCUCACCAAGGCGACGAUCCAUAACUGGUCUGAGAGGAUGGUCAGUCACACUGGAACUGAGACACGGUCCAGACUCCUACGGGAGGCAGCAGUGGGGAAUAUUGGACAAUGGGCGAAAGCCUGAUCCAGCCAUGCCGCGUGUGUGAAGAAGGUCUUCGGAUUGUAAAGCACUUUAAGUUGGGAGGAAGGGCAGUAAGCUAAUACCUUGCUGUUUUGACGUUACCGACAGAAUAAGCACCGGCUAACUUCGUGCCAGCAGCCGCGGUAAUACGAAGGGUGCAAGCGUUAAUCGGAAUUACUGGGCGUAAAGCGCGCGUAGGUGGUUCGUUAAGUUGGAUGUGAAAGCCCCGGGCUCAACCUGGGAACUGCAUCCAAAACUGGCGAGCUAGAGUAUGGCAGAGGGUGGUGGAAUUUCCUGUGUAGCGGUGAAAUGCGUAGAUAUAGGAAGGAACACCAGUGGCGAAGGCGACCACCUGGGCUAAUACUGACACUGAGGUGCGAAAGCGUGGGGGAGCAAACAGGAUUUGAUACCCUGGUAGUCCACGCCGUAAACGAUGUCGACUAGCCGUUGGGAUCCUUGAGAUCUUAGUGGCGCAGCUAACGCAUUAAGUCGACCGCCUGGGGAGUACGGCCGCAAGGUUAAAACUCAAAUGAAUUGACCGGGGGCCCGCACAAGCGGUGGAGCAUGGUGGUUUAUUUCGAAGCAACGCCGA
rnacentral:rRNA from 1 species